rnacentral:rRNA from 1 species
UACGUCGGGUGCAAGCGUUGUCCGGAAUUAUUGGGCGUAAAGAGCUCGUAGGCGGUUUGUCGCGUCUGCUGUGAAAACCCGAGGCUCAACCUCGGGCCUGCAGUGGGUACGGGCAGACUAGAGUGCGGUAGGGGAGAUUGGAAUUCCUGGUGUAGCGGUGGAAUGCGCAGAUAUCAGGAGGAACACCAAUGGCGAAGGCAGAUCUCUGGGCCGUAACUGACGCUGAGGAGCGAAAGCAUGGGGAGCGAACAGG